rnacentral:rRNA from 1 species
UAUCAGAUGAGCCUGCGUCGGAUUAGCUUGUUGGUGGGGUAAAGGCCUACCAAGGCGACGAUCCGUAGCUGGUCUGAGAGGAUGAUCAGCCACACUGGGACUGAGACACGGCCCAGACUCCUACGGGAGGCAGCAGUGGGGAAUAAUGCACAAUGGGCGAAAGCCUGAUGCAGCCAUGCCGCGUGUGUGAAGAAGGCCCUAGGGUUGUAAAGCACUUUCAGUGGGGAGGAAAGGUUGAAGGUUAAUACCCUUCAGCUGUGACGUUACCCACAGAAGAAGCACCGGCUAACUCCGUGCCAGCAGCCGCGGUAAUACGGAGGGUGCGAGCGUUAAUCGGAAUUACUGGGCGUAAGGCGUGCGUAGGCGGCCACCUAAGUUGGAUGUGAAAGCCCCGGGCUCAACCUGGGAACUGCAUCCAAAACUGGGUGGCUAGAGUACGGGAGAGGAGUGUGGAAUUUCC